CUUGCUUCAGCAGCAAUAAACUAUAAAACUGGAACUAUAAAGAAAAGAUAAGCAUGACCCCUGCAUUAGAAUGGUGUGCAAAUUUCUGCAAGAGCACCCUAUUUAU